UGGGGAAUCUUGCACAAUGGGCGCAAGCCUGAUGCAGCCAUGCCGCGUGAAUGAUGAAGGCCUUAGGGUUGUAAAGUUCUUUCGCCCGUGACGAUAGUGACGGUAACGGGAGAAGAAGCCCCGGCUAACUUCGUGCCAGCAGCCGCGGUGAUACGAAGGGGGCUAGCGUUGUUCGGAAUUACUGGGCGUAAAGCGCGCGCAGGCGGUUCGCUAAGUCAGAGGUGAAAUCCCCGGGCUCAACCCGGGAAUGGCCUUUGAGACUGGCGGGCUAGAGGACGAGAGAGGUGAGUGGAAUUCCCAGUGUAGAGGUGAAAUUCGUAGAUAUUGGGAAGAACACCGGUGGCGAAGGCGGCUCACUGGCUCGUUUCUGACGCUGAGGCGCGAAAGCGUGGGGAGCAAA
rnacentral:rRNA from 1 species